rnacentral:rRNA from 1 species
UACGUAGGGGGCGAGCGUUGUCCGGAUUCAUUGGGCGUAAAGAGCUCGUAGGCGGCUUGGCAAGUCGGAUGUGAAAACUCCAGGCUCAACCUGGAGCCGCCAUUCGAUACUGCUAUGGCUAGAGUCCGGUAGGGGAGUGUGGAAUUCCCGGUGUAGCGGUGAAAUGCGCAGAUAUCGGGAGGAACACCGAUGGCGAAGGCAGCACUCUGGGCCGGUACUGACGCUGAGGAGCGAAAGCGUGGGGAGCGAACAGG